UGGGGAAUAUUGGACAAUGGGCGCAAGCCUGAUCCAGCCAUGCCGCGUGAGUGAUGAAGGCCCUAGGGUUGUAAAGCUCUUUCACCGGUGAAGAUAAUGACGGUAACCGGAGAAGAAGCCCCGGCCAACUUCGUGCCAGCAGCCGCGGUAAUACGAAGGGGGCUAGCGUUGUUCGGAUUUACUGGGCGUAAAGCGCACGUAGGCGGAAUAUUAAGUCAGGGGUGAAAUCCCGGGGCUCACCCACGGAACUGCCAUUGAUACUGGUAGUCUUGAGUUCGGGAGAGGAGAGUGGAAUUCCGGGUGUAGAGGUGAAAUUCGUAGAUAUUCGGAGGAACACCAGUGGCGAAGGCGGCUCACUGGCUCGUAACUGACGCUGAGGUGCGAAAGCGUGGGGAGCAAACAGG
rnacentral:rRNA from 1 species